rnacentral:rRNA from 3 species
AGACCCGAAACCCGGUGAUCUAGCCAUGGGCAGGUUGAAGGUUGGGUAACACUAACUGGAGGACCGAACCGACUAAUGUUGAAAAAUUAGCGGAUGACCUGUGGCUGGGGGUGAAAGGCCAAUCAAACCGGGAGAUAGCUGGUUCUCCCCGAAAGCUAUUUAGGUAGCGCCUCGUGAAUUCAUCUCCGGGGGUAGAGCACUGUUUCGGCUAGGGGGCCAUCCCGGCUUACCAACCCGAUGCAAACUGCGAAUACCGGAGAAUGUUAUCACGGGAGACACACGGCGGGUGCUAACGUCCGUCGUGAAGAGGGAAACAACCCAGACCGCC